UACGUAGGGUGCGAGCGUUAAUCGGAAUUACUGGGCGUAAAGCGUGCGCAGGCGGCUUUGCAAGACAGAUGUGAAAUCCCCGGGCUCAACCUAGGAACUGCAUUUGUGACUGCAAGGCUAGAGUACGGCAGAGGGGGAUGGAAUUCCGCGUGUAGCAGUGAAAUGCGUAGAUAUGCGGAGGAACACCAAUGGCGAAGGCAAUCCCCUGGGCCUGUACUGACGCUCAUGCACGAAAGCGUGGGGAGCAAACAGG
rnacentral:rRNA from 1 species